rnacentral:rRNA from 1 species
UACGGAGGGUGCAAGCGUUAUCCGGAUUCACUGGGUUUAAAGGGUGCGUAGGUGGGCAAUUAAGUCAGGGGUGAAAUCUCCGGGCUUAACCCGGAAACUGCCAUUGAUACUAUUUGUCUUGAAUACUGUGGAGGUCAGCGGAAUAUGUCAUGUAGCGGUGAAAUGCUUAGAUAUGACAUAGAACACCAAUUGCGAAGGCAGCUGGCCACACAAAUAUUGACACUGAGGCACGAAAGCGUGGGGAUCAAACAGG